rnacentral:rRNA from 1 species
GACGAACGCUGGCGGCGUGCCUAAUACAUGCAAGUAGAACGCUGAAGAGAGGAGCUUGCUCUUCUUGGAUGAGUUGCGCACGGGUGAGUAACGCGUAGGUAACCUGCCUGGUAGCGGGGGAUAACUAUUGGAAACGAUAGCUAAUACCGCAUAAAAUUGAUUAUUGCAUGAUAAUUAAUUGAAAGAUGCAACUGCAUCACUACCAGAUGGACCUGCGUUGUAUUAGCUAGUUGGUGAGGUAACGGCUCACCAAGGCGACGAUACAUAGCCGACCUGAGAGGGUGAGCGGCCACACUGGGACGGAGACACGGCCCAGAGUCCUACGGGAGGCAGCAGUAGGGAAACUGCGGCAAUGGGGGGAAACCUGACCGAGAAACGCCGAGGGAGUGAAGAAGGUUGUCGGAUCGGAAAGCUCUGUUGUAAGAGAAGAACGGGUGUGAGAGUGGAAAGUUCACACUGUGACGGUAUCUUACCAGAAAGGGACGGCUAACUACGUG